UACAGAGGGUGCAAGCGUUAAUCGGAUUUACUGGGCGUAAAGCGUGCGUAGGCGGUUCAGUGUGUCGGUUGUGAAAUCCCCCGGCUUAACCUGGGAACUGCGUCUGAUACUGGGAGGCUUGAGUGCGGGAGAGGGAUGCGGAAUUCCAGGUGUAGCGGUGAAAUGCGUAGAUAUCUGGAGGAACACCGGUGGCGAAGGCGGCAUCCUGGACCGACACUGACGCUGAGGCGCGAAAGCUAGGGUAGCAAACGGG
rnacentral:rRNA from 1 species